GGAGGUAUAGCUCAGUUGGGAGAGCAGAAGACUGAAGUUCUGAAGGUCCCACAUUCAAUCCAUGGUGCCUCCA